rnacentral:SRP_RNA from 1 species
GCCGAGCUUGGUAACGCGAGCUUGUGACCCAAGUGGGGGCAACAUUGUGAUUGGACAGCUGUCUAGGCUUUCUAGCUGGGCCAAUUGAUGCGAUUAAUUGGCCUGCCCGGUCCAAGUGGCGAGUUGGUCCAUGUGACUCGGGCGUAGGCUUGAGCCACGUGGUUCGUAGAGUGGAGGGCAGCGCGUGCUAGGCUGGUCUCACAGAGCCGCGAAAACCUCCCGCUCACUACAGUGGAAGGAUUACGGGCCAGUGCAUCCUUGGCCCACUUAAGCUAAAUGGGCUAGCUUCAAUUGAACAAUCACUUUU